rnacentral:lncRNA from 1 species
AUGGAUGUUGGACGAAUAAAGAGAUCUGGAGAAUUAAAUACUAGAGUAAUUGAAUCAUCAGAAAAUACUCUAGGUGGAAAAAGAGAAAAACCUGAAUAUGGACAGAGAAGGAACAGAACUCAGAGAGAAGAGCAGGGAGUGGACCUCAAGAUCAGACUUCAAAACAGGAAAGCAGGUUACUGGAUAUUGAUGCUGGCAGCCAAGUCUUGGAGGCAGAAUGGCCACACAAAUGGAAGGAAACUGCGAGUCUGAAUCACAACAUGGAGCAGAGCCACUAGACUGCAGACCAGGAACACUUGCCUCCUCCCAAAGUGAACAAAAUGUUCAUUUUGCUAGUGCUAAGCCAAUUGGAAAUUUUAGUUUUUCUGGUAAAGCAGCUGAAGUGAAUUAAUGCUGCUACAGAUAGUAAUAAAUUUUCUCCUGAGAUGCUUUGUUCUCCGGAA